rnacentral:lncRNA from 1 species
AACUGAUACAUCUUCAAGCACAGUUGAGUGGGCAAUGGCUGAGCUAAUUCGGCAUCCCAACAUCAUGGCUCAAGUUCGUAAAGAAUUGGACUCAGUCGUUGGUCGAGACCGCCUCGUCUCCGACUUGGACUUGCCCAAUCUAACCUACUUCCAAGCCGUCAUCAAAGAAACCUUCCGCAUCCACCCAUCCACCCCGCUCUCCCUCCCUCGUAUGGCCUCCGACAGCUGCGAC